rnacentral:rRNA from 1 species
GACGAACGCUGGCGGCGUGCUUAACACAUGCAAGUCGAACGGAAAGGCCCUGCUUUUGUGGGGUGCUCGAGUGGCGAACGGGUGAGUAACACGUGAGUAACCUGCCCUUGACUUUGGGAUAACUUCAGGAAACUGGGGCUAAUACCGGAUAGGAGCUCCUGCUGCAUGGUGGGGGUUGGAAAGUUUCGGCGGUUGGGGAUGGACUCGCGGCUUAUCAGCUUGUUGGUGGGGUAGUGGCUUACCAAGGCUUUGACGGGUAGCCGGCCUGAGAGGGUGACCGGCCACAUUGGGACUGAGAUACGGCCCAGACUCCUACGGGAGGCAGCAGUGGGGAAUAUUGCACGAUGGGCGGAAGCCUGAUGCAGCAACGCCGCGUGCGGGAUGACGGCCUUCGGGUUGUAGACCGCUUUCGCCUGUGACGAAGCGUGAGUGACGGUAAUGGGUAAAGAAGCACCGGCUAACUACGUG